rnacentral:lncRNA from 1 species
CUGGUUCUGCGGAAAGGCCGAAACUAGUUUCGGCCCCUUUCGGCUAGCGCCGUACGGCGGAACCUACUUUGAAUAGUUUCAAAGUGUAGGCGCGUUGUGCAAGGCUGCGAAACUCUGCGAAUGUUGAAUUUAUCUUAUCAAUGUCUCAGACAACUUCCGUUGUCAGUGCAGACACAGAUCCGGUCAAAAACAAGGUCGGAAGGACCGCUGAUCAGACCGUUUGGGCUCAAUUUGAGAAGAAAGAAUAUAAUGCAAAGUGUAAGAACUGGACUAUCAUCUGCAAGUACUGCCGGACCGAGUCCAAGCAAGGGCGCCUUCUGGAGAUGCGCGUCCAUAUCGCGCAAAAGUGCGCGGGACCCGUCCCGCCUGAGGUCACAGAUUAGUAACAUUAUGGUGACCCGGAGUGCCUUCGGACACACAUGAGCAGGUCCCAUGAGGCGCAAAGGCACAUAGGGCCCACGAACAACGUUUGCAUACCAUGGACGUCAUAAAAUACAGCAUUUUCAGGGUUUCGGCAGUUUCCGGCAGUUUCGCGAGGUUUCGCAGAAGGGUCCAAAAAUCGGAAACUAUUUCGGC